GGGCCUGUGGUGUCAGAAGGAAGCACGGCUGUCUUGCACACAGCAGGUGACGGAGCGUUACCGUCCGGGUCCACCA
rnacentral:tRNA from 1 species